CUGACCAUAUUGUCGUUCUGUUUAAUGGUGAUUACAUCGUUCGUAUACCACACCUCGGAAAACCGCGAGCACAGCCACUACGUCAACAACCUGGCAAUGAGCGUCUUCUCGUCGCAAUGCUUUACCUUUUUCGCCGGGACAAUCAGACAACUGACUGUCACAGACUAGAAAUCAACCGGUUAAACUGUAUAAGAAUAAAUGGCAGAUAUACCUAUUUGGUGUGUUAUUGAGUAUGAUGAUGGUGGUGUACAAAUUUGACCUAAAACUUGGACAGAUAUUGGAUCACCAGGAACCAGCUAAUGGCCCCAACGAGGAGUUUUAAUUCAGACCUACAGUACCUUAAUGCAGUAAAAUAUAAUACAAAUCCUGGAAUAACUUGCCCAGUCUAUAUAAGACAUCUAUACUGGGAUUCUAUGCGAAAAAGGUAAAGCAUUGCGACGAGAAGACGCUCAUUGCCAGGUUGUUGACGUAGUGGCUGUGCUCGCGGUUUUCCGAGGAGUGGUAUACGAACGAUGUAAUCACCAUUAAACAGAACGACAAUAUGGUCAGGACCAGGAACGUGAGCUGGUACCACGCCGUAUUGGCCAACGUUCCGUACACCACUGGCACGUUUUCGGGGUUGCCGUCGUCGCAUGGCGUGACAUCGUGACACCGACACACCGUGCGUAACAGGUGGUCGUCCAUUGGAUGUCAAAACAUAUACUUCUCUUCGUUGGCGAAGGUACCAUUGGGUUCACAGCACUGGAUUUCCAUAUCGCUGUGGCCAGCGGUGAUCGUGAUCGGUGGAGUUUUAAUCACAAUUUUAAUUGGAUCGGUGAUUCUGAAUCCGGCGCCGACGACUUUUUUGAGGGCGAUCAACGAGUUUGAAUUGUGGCCCGCGAUUAUGACCGAAGGUGACACAAUGUGGGCGCCGCUCACGGCCGUCUCAGUGAUGAAGUUGGCUAUGACGGCCAACAAGCCACUCGAAGAUGCGUGUGAAUUCAUGAUGUCGAUAUUAUUAUAAAUUGUUAUUUGUGUAAUGGUGGCUGGAUGGAAGUGGACCGGUCAAAGAAUCGCAAAGGCAAUGUCUAUUACAAUAUUACCGUAUUUAAUGUAUUUGUAGGUAUUGUUGUGUAUUUUUAAAUCAAAUCGAAUAAUUAUAUUAUUUAAAAUAUUUACUGUGCGGUCAAUGAUGCAGUAAAUGCGGAAAAUUUAGAAAGAGAUUCUGCGAGAGCGUAAUUUUUCAGGAAAAUGCGCUGCGAUAACACACCUGAAUCAGUGUCUGGAACGCAAAAUACUCUGACGGGCGCCGCGUCGGUUAAGGACUAUUUAUAACAUAUAUCUAGAAAGGUGAUCGGCUGCUUUUAACCACACGGUUGCUAACCACUCACUACCCUUAGAAUUUCAAAAUCAACGCCGCCACCGCCGUCACUGCCACUGUCGAUGAAGUUGUCCGAUAAAGAGGGGUCUGAUUUCCACCACGCCCAGGACAUUGAAUUUGUCCCUUGUUACAAUAUUACAAAUAUGUAUCAUUAUUACAGAACAAAUUCACAGAAAAUGUAAAAAUCCUCCAUCGGAAUAUCUGUGAAAACAAAAUACCUUUGAUACGAAUGACGUUCCGUUAUUUAUCCAAAAAAUAAAUAAAUAAUUGAAAAUUGUGAUGUUAUAAUAAACUAAAUUUUAGGACUGUAGAAAUACUUGACGAUUAUUGUAAAAAAAAUAUUGAGCCAAUGUACUUUGCCGAAAUAAAGUAUUUAAAAUUAUUUAUCAUA
rnacentral:lncRNA from 1 species